AACGAACGCUGGCGGCAGGCUUAACACAUGCAAGUCGAGCGCCCCGCAAGGGGAGCGGCAGACGGGUGAGUAACGCGUGGGAAUCUACCCAUCUCUACGGAAUAACGCAUGGAAACGUGUGCUAAUACCGUAUACGUCCUUCGGGAGAAAGAUUUAUCGGAGAUGGAUGAGCCCGCGUUGGAUUAGCUAGUUGGUGGGGUAAAGGCCUACCAAGGCGACGAUCCAUAGCUGGUCUGAGAGGAUGAUCAGCCACACUGGGACUGAGACACAGCCCAGACUCCUACGGGAGGCAGCAGUGGGGAAUAUUGGACAAUGGGCGCAAGCCUGAUCCAGCCAUGCCGCGUGAGUGAUGAAAGCCCUAGGGUUGUAAAGCUCUUUCACCGGUGAAGAUAAUGACGGUAACCGGAGAAGAAGCCCCGGCUAACUUCGUGCCAGCCGCCGCCGUAAUAC
rnacentral:rRNA from 1 species